rnacentral:rRNA from 1 species
UUUGAUCAUGGCUCAAAUUGAACGCUGGCGGAAUGCUUUCCACUUGCAAGUCGAACGGCAGCACGGAGAGCUUGCUCUCUGGUGGCGAGUGGCGAACGGGUGAGUAAUAUAUCGGACCGUGUCCAAUAAUGGGGGAUAACGAGUCGAAAGAUUCGCUAAUACCGCAUACCCCCUACGGGGGAAAGCAGGGGAUCGUAAAACCUUGCGUUAAUGGAGCGGCCGAUAUCUGAUUAGCUUGUUGGUGAGGUAAAGGCUCACCAAGGCGACAAUCAGUAGCUGGUUUGAGAGAACGACCAGCCACACUGGAACUGAAACACGGUCCAAACUCCUACGGGAGGCAGCAGUGGGGAAUUUUGGACAAUGGGGGCAACCCUGAUCCACCCAUUCCGCGUGAGUGAAGAAGGCCUUCGGGUUGUAAAGCUCUUUCGCAAGGGAAGAAAACUUAUGAUCGAAUAAAUCAUGAGGUUGACGGUACCUUGAUAAGAAGCACCGGCUAACUACGUG